AUUGAACGCUGGCGGCAUGCCUUACACAUGCAAGUCGAACGGCAGCACGGGUGCUUGCACCUGGUGGCGAGUGGCGAACGGGUGAGUAAUAUAUCGGAACGUACCUUAUUGUGGGGGAUAACGCAGCGAAAGCUGUGCUAAUACCGCAUAAUCCCUAAGGGGGAAAGCGGGGGACCGUAAGGCCUCGCGCAAUUAGAGCGGCCGAUACCUGAUUAGCUAGUUGGUGAGGUAAAGGCUCACCAAGGCAACGAUCAGUAGCUGGUCUGAGAGGACGAUCAGCCACACUGGGACUGAGACGCGGCCCAGACUCCUACGGGAGGCAGCAGUGGGGAAUUUUGGACAAUGUGGGCAACCCUGAUCCAGCAAUGCCGCGUGAGUGAAGAAGGCCUUCGGGUUGUAAAGCUCUUUUGUCAGGGAAGAAACAGCAGCUCUAACACAGUAUGCGAAUGACGGUACCUGAAGAAUAAGCACCGGCUAACUACGUGCCAGCAGCCGCGGUAA
rnacentral:rRNA from 1 species